UGGCUCAGGAUGAACGCUAGCGGCAGGCUUAACACAUGCAAGUCGAGGGGCAGCACAGGGAGCAAUCCUGGGUGGCGACCGGCGGAAGGGUGCGUAACGCGUGAGCAACUUGCCCGUAUCUGGGAGAUAACCGAUGGAAACGUCGACUAAUAUCCCAUAACACAAUUUGUGGCAUCGCAGAUUGUUAAAAGAGAUUCGGAUACGGAUAGGCUCGCGUGACAUUAGCUAGUUGGAGUGGUAACGGCACACCAAGGCGACGAUGUCUAGGGGUUCUGAGAGGAAGGUCCCCCACACUGGAACUGAGACACGGUCCAGACUCCUACGGGAGGCAGCAGUGAGGAAUAUUGGUCAAUGGGCGAAAGCCUGAACCAGCCAUGCCGCGUGAAGGAAUAAGGCCCUAUGGGUCGUAAACUUCUUUUGACGGGGAGCAAUAAGGUCUACGUGUAGGCCGAUGAGAGUACUCGUCGAAUAAGCAUCGGCUAACUCCGUGCCAGCAGCCGCGGUAAUACGGAGGAUGCGAGCGUUAUCCGGAAUUAUUGGGUUUAAAGGGUGCGUAGGCUGUUUGUUAAGUCAGGGGUGAAAUACCGCAGCUCAACUGUGGAAUUGCCUUUGAUACUAGCAGGCUUGAAUACUGUUGCCGUGGGAGGAAUGAGUAGUGUAGCGGUGAAAUGCAUAGAUAUUACUCAGAACACCGAUUGCGAAGGCAUCUCACGAAGGGGCGAUUGACGCUGAGGCACGAAAGCGUGGGUAUCGAACAGGAUUAGAUACCCUGGUAGUCCACGCGGUAAACGAUGGAUGCUCGCUGUUUGCGUCUGACGUAAGCGGCCAAGCGAAAGCGUUAAGCAUCCCACCUGGGGAGUACGCCGGCAACGGUGAAACUCAAAGGAAUUGACGGGGGCCCG
rnacentral:rRNA from 1 species